rnacentral:rRNA from 1 species
UACGUAGGGCGCAAGCGUUGUUCGGAAUUAUUGGGCGUAAAGAGCUCGUAGGCGGCUUGUCACGUCGGGUGUGAAAGCCCGGGGCUUAACCCCGGGUCUGCAUUUGAUACGGGCUGGCUGGAGUGUGGUAGGGGAGAGCGGAAUUCCUGGUGUAGCGGUGAAAUGCGCAGAUAUCAGGAGGAACACCGGUGGCGAAGGCGGAUCUCUGGGCCAUUACUGACGCUGAGGAGCGAAAGCGUGGGGAGCGAACAGG